GAUACGACUUCAUCCAGUGAACUUCCGCAGCCAUGUGAUAGAUUCGGGAAACAUUUUCCACCAGAAACUCCCAUUUUGCAUCAUCCAACCCAAAUCUAAUCUCCUCUACAUGAGCCGCCCAUACAAUUAUAUUUUCACUCGAAAUUCGAAGACUAGGAACAAGUGAUAUUAACCUUUCUUUAGCAGCUUCAUCAGAGGACUCUCGAACUAGACAUACAACACUUAUAUUCAACUUUACUAGAUAUUCCAAAAAACGACGACCAAAAUAACCCGUUGCUCCAGUUAACAAGAAAUAUUGACCAUUGGUAGGCAGAAUACUUAACUUGGGAAUGGUACGUGAUAAAGCGCAUGCAUCUUCAUUUAAAAGUUCAUAGGUGAUUGACGAUACGUUGUAACUUUUCUUUUGAAUUAUAGAGGCUAUCGAGUUAGGGGUACAAUUUGAAUUCAUAUUGUAGCGAAUUGGGCCUUCAAGAUGAAAGUGGGAUUGAAUAGCAUGAAAAAAUCUCACAGAAUG